GUUGGUUUGUGUUUGUUAGUCAGUGCUGUCAGUGUUGCUCUAUGUGGGCAAUCAAGAUUUAUGGUGUUGUUUACAUUGUUCUUGUGCAUUAUUCACUCUUUAGUGUUUCUUUUUUUUCUCUCCAAUCCAUGUUAUACAUUGUCCACUCUGUAGGCAUUGCUUUUUCUUUUUAUAUUCGUUUGUUUGGCUGUAUGUGGUUGCAUUAUUUCCUGGAGCAUUGCAUGAUGGAGUCCAGGCUAUAAUAUUUGUCUUCAAAUGCUUAAUAUAAACUAUGCCCAACUUUAUUUUCAAUGGUAGAAAUGUGUAACAUUUAAACCUGGAGGAAAACUCAUUAAUUUCUUGCAGCUGUGCUUUUCUUGAUUUUUCUUCUAUUACUUUUCUCCAUUGCCUGUGGAAAUCUAAGCAAUGGGUUUUUU
rnacentral:misc_RNA from 1 species